UAGGGAGACUGGCUUUGGUUUGGGUGUGUCAGCACCAAGGGAUGACGUGGUACUCAAAGGCAAGGGCUUUGAGUGAGGAGAUAAUGAAGGGAAGCUAUUUAUAGCCAAUAUCUACAUGCCACAUGGUUUAUUGCUUCAUCAGGUGGAUACUGGUCUCCUGCCAGCCAAUUCAUUUCUCUUGUGAGCCAGAAGAGGAGCAGGCCAAUGUGUGUGUUCAGGUUUUGAACCAUAUGUGGGAGCCAGAGAGGAAAGGGGUGAUCAAGAAGAGAGAAAGGACCAAACAGGCAACUGAGCACCUACUAUACACCAUCAGUUAAACUACAAGCCAGACCUUCCCAUGAGGUGUUGGGCUGCCAGAAAACAGAAAAUGUGUGUUAAUGAUCCUGGUAUCUCCCACAUUGAACAUGAAUGGAGCUGGGGGCCAUUAUCCUUAGCAAACUAACACAGGAACAGAAAGUCAAAUACUACAUGUUCACACUUAUAAGUGGGAGCUAAAUGAUGAGAACUCAUGGACACAAAGACAGGAACAACAGACACUGGGACCUACUUGAGAGUGGAUGGUGGAAGGAGGGAGAGGAUCAGCAAAAAUAACUACUGAGUGCUGGGCUUAGUACCUGGGUGACAAAAUAAUCUGUACAACAAACCCCCAUGACACAGUUUAUCAAUAUAACAAACCUGCAUGUGUACCUCUGAACCUAAAAUAAAAGUUUAUAUAUAUAUAUAUAUAAACUAUAUAUAUAUGGAUGUAUA
rnacentral:lncRNA from 1 species